rnacentral:sRNA from 1 species
UUUUUUACUUUUUUGAAAUCUAGAAAGUUCUGAGUUGAAGCCCGAAACCACAUCAUGUAAUAUUAGUUUCAUCCUAAUCAUCACUCGAACCGGCGACCUCUAAGUUUCGCUUAAGGUUUUUACCAAUUAAGGUAACCACUUGAUUCAGUUGCGCAUUUAUCUCGUAGACCGGAAGACUAAGCUUUUGUAACGGUAUAUUGAG